rnacentral:rRNA from 1 species
GAUGAACGCUGGCGGCGUGCCUAAUACAUGCAAGUCGAGCGAACAGACGAGGAGCUUGCUCCUCUGACGUUAGCGGCGGACGGGUGAGUAACACGUGGAUAACCUACCUAUAAGACUGGGAUAACUUCGGGAAACAGGAGCUAAUACCGGAUAAUAUAUUGAACCGCAUGGUUCAAUAGUGAAAGACGGUUUUGCUGUCACUUAUAGAUGGAUCCGCGCCGCAUUAGCUAGUUGGUAAGGUAACGGCUUACCAAGGCGACGAUGCGUAGCCGACCUGAGAGGGGGAUCGGCCGCACUGGAACGGAGACGCGGUCCAGACUCCUACGGGAGGCAGCAGUAGGGUAUGUUCCGCAAUGGGCGAAAGCAUGACGGAGCAACGCCGCGUGAGUGAUGAAGGUCUUCGGAUCGUAAAACUCUGUUAUUAGGGAAGAACAAAUGUGUAAGUAACUAUGCACGGCUUGACGGUACCUAAUCAGAAAGCCACGGCUAACUACGUG